rnacentral:rRNA from 1 species
UUUUUUAUAAAAAUAAUUUAUUAAUUUAAAGUUUUAGUAUUAAUUGAAAAUUAAUUUAUAGAUUUAUAGUUUAAUAGUAUUGUGAAAGAAAUAAUUAAAUUUAAAAAAGAAUUAUUUUAGUACCUUUUGUAUCAGGGUUGAUUAAAAUUUUUAAUUUUUUUUUAAAUUCUCAAAAUUUAUAGAGUUAAUUUUAUUAUUAAUUUAUUGUGUUAUAAAUAUUUAUAAAAUAAUAUUAGUUUUGAAAUUUAAUUCGUUAUAUUAUAUUUAGUUAUUUAAGAUUUAAAUUUAAUUUAAAAUUUUGAAAGUUAUUUUAAUUUUUUUGAUUAAUAUUUCAAAUUUAAAUUAUUUUAGGGAUAAGCUUGAAAUUUUUAUAUAAUAAUUUAUUUAUUUUAAUAAUUUAUAGGAAUAGAAAUUUUUAUUUAAGUUUGUAAAAAUUUAUUAUUUAUUUAUUUUUAAUUUAUUAUAAAUUAUUUAUUAUUAAUAUUAAAUUUUAUUAAUUAAUAUUUAAUUAAUAGUAAUAAUGAUUAAAUUAGUAUAAUUUAAAUUUAUAAAUUAUGAAUUCGGCAAAAAUUAUUUUCAUCUGUUUAACAAAAACAUUGUAUUAAGUUUAAUUUAAUAUAGGAUCUGCUCAAUGAUUUAUUAAAUAGCUGCAGUAUUUUGACUGUGCAAAGGUAGCAUAAUAAUUAGUCUUUUAAUUGAGGACUUGAAUGAAAGAUUUGAUGAGAAAUAAACUUUAUUAUUUAUAUAAUUAAAAUUUUAUUUUUAAGUAAAAAAGCUUAAAUUUUUUAAAGGGACGAUAAGACCCUAUAAAACUUUAUAAAUUUUAAUUUUAAUUUUUUUGGGUUAAUAAAUAUUUUAUUUUUAAAAUUUAUUUUAUUGGGGUGAUAAAAAAAAUUAAUAAACUUUUUUUAAAAUUUAACAUUAUUUAAUGAAUUAUUGAAUUAAAAUUUUUAAUUAAAGGAAAAAGUUACUUUAGGGAUAACAGCGUAAUUAAUUUUUUAAGUUCAAAUUUAAAAAUUAGUUUGCGACCUCGAUGUUGAAUUAAGAUUAAUCUUAGGUGCAAAAUUUUAAGUAUUAGGUCUGUUCGACCUUUAAAUUCUUACAUGAUUUGAGUUCAAACC